rnacentral:rRNA from 1 species
AGAGUUUGAUCAUGGCUCAGGACGAACGCUGGCGGCGUGCCUAAUACAUGCAAGUCGAACGAAACUUUCUUACACCGAAUGCUUGCAUUCACCGUAAGAAGUUGAGUGGCGGACGGGUGAGUAACACGUGGGUAACCUGCCUAAAAGAAGGGGAUAACACUUGGAAACAGGUGCUAAUACCGUAUAUCUCUAAGGAUCGCAUGAUCCUUAGAUGAAAGAUGGUUUUGCUAUCGCUUUUAGAUGGACCCGCGGCGUAUUAACUAGUUGGUGGGGUAACGGCCUACCAAGGUGAUGAUACGUAGCCGAACUGAGAGGUUGAUCGGCCACAUUGGGACUGAGACACGGCCCAAACUCCUACGGGAGGCAGCAGUAGGGAAUCUUCCACAAUGGACGCAAGUCUGAUGGAGCAACGCCGCGUGAGUGAAGAAGGUCUUCGGAUCGUAAAACUCUGUUGUUAGAGAAGAACACGAGUGAGAGUAACUGUUCAUUCGAUGACGGUAUCUAACCAGCAAGUCACGGCUAACUACGUGCCAGCAGCCGCGGUAAUACGUAGGUGGCAAGCGUUGUCCGG